rnacentral:rRNA from 1 species
GAUGAACGCUGGCGGCGUGCCUAAUACAUGCAAGUCGAGCGAACAGACGAGGAGCUUGCUCCUCUGACGUUAGCGGCGGACGGGUGAGUAACACGUGGAUAACCUACCUAUAAGACUGGGAUAACUUCGGGAAACCGGAGCUAAUACCGGAUAAUAUAUUGAACCGCAUGGUUCAAUAGUGAAAGACGGUUUUGCUGUCACUUAUAGAUGGAUCCGCGCCGCAUUAGCUAGUUGGUAAGGUAACGGCUUACCAAGGCAACGAUGCGUAGCCGACCUGAGAGGGUGGUCGGCCACACUGGAACUGAGACACGGCCCAGACUCCUACGGGAGGCAGCAGUAGGGAAUCUUCCGCAAUGGGCGAAAGCCUGACGGAGCAACGCCGCGUGAGUGAUGAAGGUCUUCGGAUCGUAAAACUCUGUUAUUAGGGAAGAACAAAUGUGUAAGUAACUAUGCACGUCUUGACGGUACCUAAACAGAAAGCCACGGCUAACUACGUG